rnacentral:rRNA from 1 species
AACGAACGCUGGCGGUAUGCCUAACACAUGCAAGUCGAACGAGACCUCCGUGUCUAGUGGCGCUCACGUGCGUAACGCGUGGGAACCUGCCCGUAGGUUCGGAAUAAUUCCCCGUAGGGGGUGCUAAUACCGGGUAAUUUCUUCUGACCAAAGAUUUGUCGCCUUUGGAUGGGCCCGCGUUGGUUUAACUUGGUGGUAGUGUAAGAGCCUAUCUCGGCGACGAUCCAUAGCUGGUCUGAGAGAAUGAUCAGCCACACUGAGACGGGGCAACGGCCGAGACUACUGCGGGAGGCAGGAGUGGGGAAUAUUGCCAAACGGCAGAAAGGCUGAACCAGUAAGGCCGCGUGAGUGAUGAAGGUCUGAGGGAUGUACAGCACUUUUACCCGGCAUGAUACUGACAGUACCGGGAGAAUAAGCGCCGGCUAACUCCGUG